GACCGCCAGUGCAAAUCGAUUUUCACUGGCGGUUUUAUUACGUCGACCGCUAGUGAAAAUCGAUUUUCACUGGCGGUC
rnacentral:pre_miRNA from 7 species